rnacentral:rRNA from 1 species
AGACAGCAGUAGCCGCGGGAAUACGUAGGGUGCAAGCGUUAAUCGGAAUUACUGGGCGUAAAGCGUGCGCAGGCGGUUAUAUAAGACAGAUGUGAAAUCCCCGGGCUCAACCUGGGAACUGCAUUUGUGACUGUAUAGCUAGAGUACGGCAGAGGGGGAUGGAAUUCCGCGUGUAGCAGUGAAAUGCGUAGAUAUGCGGAGGAACACCGAUGGCGAAGGCAAUCCCCUGGGCCUGUACUGACGCUCAUGCACGAAAGCGUGGGGAGCAAACAGGAUUAGAUACCCCAGUAGUCCCUGUCUCUUAUAC